rnacentral:rRNA from 1 species
GAUCAUUACCGAGUGCGGGUCCUUUGGGCCCAACCUCCCAUCCGUGUCUAUUGUACCCUGUUGCUUCGGCGGGCCCGCCGCUUGUCGGCCGCCGGGGGGGCGCCUCUGCCCCCCGGGCCCGUGCCCGCCGGAGACCCCAACACGAACACUGUGUGAAAGCGUGCAGUCUGAGUUGAUUGAAUGCAAUCAGUUAAAACUUUCAACAAUGGAUCUCUUGGUUCCGGCAUCGAUGAAGAACGCAGCGAAAUGCGAUAAAUAAUGUGAAUUGCAGAAUUCAGUGAAUCAUUGAGUCUUUGAACGCACAUUGCGCCCCCUGGUAUUCCGGGGGGCAUGCCUGUCCGAGCGUCAUUGCUGCCCUCAAGCCCGGCUUGUGUGUUGGGUUGCUGUCCCCCUCUCCGGGGGGACGGGCCCGAAAGGCAGCGGCGGCACCGCGUCUGAUCCUCGAGCGUAUGGGGCUUUGUCACAUGCUCUGUAGGAUUGGCUGGCGCCUGCCGACUUUUCCACCCAUCUUUCCAGGUGAC